AUUGAACGCUGGCGGCAGGCCUAACACAUGCAAGUCGAACGAGUGGCGGACGGGUGAGUAAUGUCUGGGAAACUGCCCGAUGGAGGGGGAUAACUAGUGGAAACGGUAGCUAAUACCGCAUACCAUCGGAUGUGCCCAGAGGGGAUUAGCUAGUAGGUGGGGUAACGGCUCACCUAGGCGACGAUCCCUAGCUGGUCUGAGGGGGUGACCGGCCACACUGGAACUGAGACACGGUCCAGACUCCUACGGGAGGCAGAAGUGGGGAAUAUUGCACAAUGGGCGCAAGCCUGAUGGAGCAAUGCCGCGUGUAUGAAGAAGGCUUUCGGUUUGUAAAGUACUUUCAGCGGGGAGGCGUUACUUACAGAAGAAGCACCGGCUAACUACGUGCCAGCCGCCGCGGUAAUAC
rnacentral:rRNA from 1 species